CUGGUGUUCAUGCAAAGAAAGUUACCUAUAAUAAUUUUCCAAUCAAUGAUUUCUGCAACAUGCUUAGUAUGUGAAGAAUUUAAUUUCACGACUGCAGAGGACUCUAAAGAAGAAUUAACGUUCUGGUGGAUCGAAGAUCGAAGAAUGAUAUGUUUUUAACUGGUUUCUAUCUUUAACUGGUUUCCAUCACAAAGUACAUAUUAUGAUUUAAAUUGAUGAUUUAUAGUUACACCUAUUGAAGUUACAUUUGCUGUGGUGACGCUUCUUUCUGUGGAACAACAUGUCCACUUUGUAAAAAAGUAAUCAACAUCAAUUGCCAUGGAGGUGUGAUUGGUGAUGGAUAUGUUAUUUGCAAGAUAUGUGCAGGUUUUCAAAAAAUGACAACCGAAAAAAUAAAUGAAGUUGCUUCGUCACAACUUCUUAAGUCAAUAUAUUGCGGUUCUGUCUACAGUUACAGACAUGAUUUUUUUCAAGCUGGAGGACAAAAAAAAAAAAGUUUAUGUGAUC